rnacentral:rRNA from 1 species
UACGUAGGGUGCGAGCGUUAAUCGGAAUUACUGGGCGUAAAGCGUGCGCAGGCGGUUUUGUAAGCCAGAUGUGAAAUCCCCGGGCUUAACCCGGGAAUGGCAUUUGGGACUGCAAGGCUUGAGUGCGGCAGAGGAGACUGGAAUUCCCGGUGUAGCAGUGAAAUGCGUAGAUAUCGGGAGGAAUACCGAUGGCGAAGGCAGGUCUCUGGGCUGACACUGACGCUCAUGCACGAAAGCGUGGGGAGCAAACAGG